GGAAUCUUGCGCAAUGGGCGAAAGCCUGACGCAGCGACGCCGCGUGAGGGAUGACGGCCUUCGGGUUGUAAACCUCUGUCGGGAGGGACGAAGCUCUGACGGUACCGCCAAAGGAAGCACCGGCUAACUCUGUGCCAGCAGCCGCGGUAAUACAGAGGGUGCGAGCGUUGUCCGGAAUCACUGGGCGUAAAGGGCGCGUAGGCGGCUGGGUAAGUCGGGGGUGAAACGCUGUGGCUCAACCGCAGCACUGCCUUCGAGACUGCCUGGCUUGAGCACGGUAGAGGCUGGUGGAAUUCCCGGUGUAGCGGUGGAAUGCGUAGAGAUCGGGAAGAACAUCGGUGGCGAAGGCGGCCAGCUGGGCCGUUGCUGACGCUGAGGCGCGACAGCGUGGGGAGCAAA
rnacentral:rRNA from 1 species